UCAGCCAGGCGGCGUCGUGGAGGGGGAGCUCAGGUAGCAGGGAGAUCGAUAACGUGACAGUAUCCCUGGCGACCGUCUAUUAUCCAUCGUUAACCUACAGGGAGAUUAUCCAGUCUAAACCCAACUUUGAAAUGUGGUUCAGCAGCAUCGGCGGGCACAUCGGUAUCUGUCUGGGGGCUUCUGUCAUCUCAGCCAUUGAAAUCCUUUGCUUCGUCAUCACCGUCUUGUUCUUGGUGUUCAAGAAAGUUCUCAAGAUGCUCUGGUCUUGUUAAUUUUUUUUCCAUAAGGAGGAAGGUUUUUGUGUCGUUUUUUGAAAUGCGUGAUCGUUUUUUUU